AGCUAAGACAGUAAACCCAACAAUUACACCUGAUAAUUAUACUCGGGGUUCAACUCCCCUCCUUAGCU
rnacentral:tRNA from 1 species